CACCGCCCGGCCCCGGGGGCGAGCGGCCCCGGCUGAGGGAGCGGGGCGGCGGCGGGAGCGCGGUGAACAUCCCCAGCUCUCCCAGCCUGUCCAGUGCAGAGGGGCUCCAGCAUCCCUGUGGCCUCCUCUGGACUCUCUCCAGCAGCCCUGCUCCUUCUGCUGUUGGAUCUCAAAUCUGGAGGCAGCUCUGCAGGUGGGGGUCUCACCUGAGAGGGGCAGAGGGGCAGAAUCCCCCACUCCCCUGCUUCCCACUCUUCCCAGGAUACAUUGGAUAUUCUGGACCAAUCUUCCUUACCUAUUCCAGGAGUUUCACGCCGUUCAGCAGCUGUGUAAUCUCCCUUUUUUUUUUUUUUGUUUAUUUUUGUGUUUAUUUUUGGUGGCUGAGGUCAGGUUCCCAGCAGGUCCCUCACAGCUCAGGCUGACGUCUCCUCUUGGCGGGCUCCGCGAGGGGCUCGGCCUCAGCCCCGGCCGUGCGUCACCCCUGGGACAGGAGCCCUGUGUGUGUGUCAAGGUUAUUCCAGCUGAGCUUGGCCAACAGCUCCCUGCCAGAGGGAGCAGCUCCAGCCUGGACACCCUGGCACAUCCCCCCUGCCAGGGGACACCGGCCAGGACGCAACGUCCCAGCUUGGGGGGCUCUCAGAAGCAGAGGAAUUGCCAGCAGGGAAGUGAGGUGUAUUUGUGUCCAGCUAUCCAGGCAGCAGCAGCUGGGGCUGAGCUGAGAGUAUCCCUUAGUUUUUGCAGCCUGAGUGCUCUCAAAUGCAGGGGUCUGAUGGAGUUUCCACUUGGCAACCCUUGGGCACCACAGAGGCUUUCCUGGGCAGAGUGGCUUGUGCUUCAUCUUCUGGAUGCCCAAGGAAGGUGCUGUCUUUCUCUUCAAGCUCUUGAUACAGUUAGGAAAAUUAGAGGAGCUUCCCAAUGCAUAAGCAAAUCUGCAGGUCUGAACAGAAACUGUGGGGUUUGGAGCCAACUGGGAGUUGAGAAUUUGGAGCUCAGUGCAUUGGUAUGGACCAUGUUCCCAAGGAUGUGGGAAUCUGCGAGAUCCUGUGCCCUGCAGAGUCCCUUAAGUUUCUUCAAAAGAAGAAAGUUCUGGAUUCUUUGGUUUAGUUCCCUGGAGGAGCAUCCUGUGGCAUCCCAGCAGCUGUGCAGCCCCAGAAAUCCUAUGGGAGCUCUGGGGUUUGGUUUGACCUCUCUUUCCUCCCUCUCUCCCAUUUUCUUUGAGGCUUGCAGUGGGAUUUUCCAGACAAAGCCCAUGACUUUCUAUUAA
rnacentral:lncRNA from 1 species